rnacentral:rRNA from 1 species
GAUGAACGCUGGCGGCGUGCCUAAUACAUGCAAGUCGAGCGAACGGAUGAGAAGCUUGCUUCUCUGAUGUUAGCGGCGGACGGGUGAGUAACACGUGGAUAACCUACCUAUAAGACUGGGAUAACUUCGGGAAACCGGAGCUAAUACCGGAUAAUAUUUUGAACCGCAUGGUUCAAAAGUGAAAGACGGUCUUGCUGUCACUUAUAGAUGGAUCCGCGCUGCAUUAGCUAGUUGGUAAGGUAACGGCUUACCAAGGCAACGAUGCGUAGCCGACCUGAGAGGGUGAUCGGCCACACUGGAACUGAGACACGGUCCAGACUCCUACGGGAGGCAGCAGUAGGGAAUCUUCCGCAAUGGGCGAAAGCCUGACGGAGCAACGCCGCGUGAGUGAUGAAGGUCUUCGGAUCGUAAAACUCUGUUAUUAGGGAAGAACAUAUGUGUAAGUAACUGUGCACGUCUUGACGGUACCUAAUCAGAAAGCCACGGCUAACUACGUG